UAAUAAGCUAUUAAGGGCUAAUGGUGGAUGCCUAGACUGUAAGAGGCGAUGAAAGACGUAUUAGGCUGCGAUAAGCCUCGGGGAGCUGCCAAAGAGCUUUGAUCCGGGGAUUUCUGAAUGGGGCAACCCAGCAUAUAGAGAUAUAUGUUACCCUACGGGGAGCUAACCUGGUGAAGUGAAACAUCUCAGUAGCCAGAGGAAGAGAAAUCAAACGAGAUUCCGUCAGUAGCGGCGAGCGAAAGCGGAUUAGGACAAACCCAAUGCUUGCAUUGGGGGUUGUAGGACCAUAACGUGAGACUAAAGAGGAUAGAUGAAAUACUUGGAAAAGUGUAGCAUAGAAGGUGAAACUCCUGUAAUUUAAAUUCUCAAUAGCUCUAAUGGUAUCCUGAGUAGGUCGGAACACGUGAUAUUUUGACUGAAACCGGGGGGACCACCCUCCAAUCCUAAAUACUACUUACAGAUCGAUAGUGAACAAGUACCGUGAGGGAAAGGUGAAAAGUACUCCAGCGAGGAGAGUGAAAUAGAACCUGAAACCAUUAGCUUACAAUCAUUCGGAGCCCUAUGAUUUAUCAGGGUGACGGACUGCCUUUUGCAUAAUGAGCCUGCGAGUUG
rnacentral:rRNA from 1 species